rnacentral:lncRNA from 1 species
UAGUCAUGGCUAAAUAUUAAAAGAAAAUAAUUAAUUAACAAUAAUGUAUUCAAAGUAACAUCGACGCUCAUUCCAAUACUUUAAUUCCCAGUACAGUACAAACAAUUUGAAUCAAACACAUAGUUACUUCAACAUUCAAUCACAUAAAUUUUCCCUUGAAAGUUCCCAAAACAAUCAUCGUCGGUCAUAGUUUUAGCUUUAGUGUUCAUGUUUUCCUCAAGUCCAGGAUUCCUCUGAAUUAUUUGCCCUCACAUUCCUCUAAACUCUUCUUCCAAGAACUAAAAUUGAAAAAGAAAAGAACCAUUACUAAACUGAUUUACGAAAACUAUUAAGUAGCAAAAAGAACAAUGCGAUUGUACAUCAUAUAAUUUCUUGAAGAAAUACAGGAGUCAUGCGACUACUACUAUCUGCAAGAAAACAUAAAGCCAUAUUCAAUAGUAGAAGCUUAAGAGAACUAAAUCAAUUUGGCAUCAUUAGCUUAUGGAAAAGAUCAUUCCACUAAUAGAGAUGGAGUUACAUACAACUGUAGGAAGUAUUUCACAAAUGAUGUACCGUUCUCAUCCAGCCGUUAGGUGAACAUCUUUUGUAAUCUUUUCCUAAAUGCCAUAUUUCAUUGUCCCGAGAAUGGUGGAUAAUACUUUCUAUAAGCAAAAUCAAAGAGAAAUAACAUAAAAAAUAUUAUUCUCCAGUCUUAAGGUAUCAUAUGUAGAAAGAAACGAUAUCAAGAUCACCUUGACAAAAUAGAAUUUUUAAUCAACUUGAGGCAAAUAAUAAUAAUUUUGCAGAAAGCUCAAGAUAUUUGAACCCGAAACUCCUAACAGUGCAGAAAAGGAACUAGCAAUCACUAGUAUCAUUGUACAGGCUUACUAAUUCCUUCUCUACUCCUGAAUUCAACAGAAUGAUUGAUCAAUUUCAGUCCUAACAUCAAUGCCAAUGUUCCUUAUCCAACAUAAAUUGUUAAUAAAGCUGAUAUUCACAAGAUACCCUACACCAUCCACAAUCUAAAUCAUCAAACACAUAAUCGUAAUGGUCAUUUACCUUCCCUUCAUAAACAAGUAUCUACAAGCUUCUUUUCCAUUCAACCAUCACAAACAAGAUUCUUUUCCAAUCUAAUUUACCGUGCUGUUUGGAUUAGAGUCGCCAUCAAGCACAACCACAAUAAUUCUAACACAAGACAAGUUACUAUAUAAUAUCCUUCUGUUGGAACCAACAUCACAUGAUUCAGCAGCGAAUAAGGUUCAACACAUUAAAAAAGUCUUAACAUGUCAAAAAUACCAAGAUCAAGAUUAAACUAGUAAUCUAUAUCUUAUCAGACAUUUCAUAUCAAUUUAAUAUUCAGUUGUUUUCUCUUUUAUAGGAAAACAAUACAGAGUGCCAUUUCAUUGGCUCAAUAUAGAAUAGUUUGUCAGUAACAAAUACUAAUCAAACAAACUAUCUAGUUGAAGCAAAAACAGUCCUAUAAUUUAAUUCAUUACCUUUUACGUCGUUUGAUAAAUGUCGUAUGUACUAGUAAAUGGAUUCAAGGUUUUAUAGCAGUAAGAACGAUGAACAACCAAAUAAUGUUAAUAAUCUCAUCACUACCAUUACAAAAUCAGUUCAACAUGAAAAGAUGAAUCAAAGGAAGUGCAAACUUUAAUCUCAUGUUAAUAAAACAAAGCCAGCCCAUUAAAUUUUAUUUAAUCCUCUAAGGCAUUUGCUCAAACAGCUGAUAUGAACAGAAUACGACGGAAAUAAAAGAAAAGGUAGCAAAAAUUUUAAAGGCAGUUAACCAGAAAUUCAAUCCAGUGAACAACAGAUUAGAACAGAAAAAUACUUACCAAAAUCUUAAUAUCUUCAACCAGAUGUUUGAGAAUUACAGAGAAUAGAUUAAAUAUGGCAGUCGAUUGUGUGUAAAAGGAGGCCUAAAUUUUGGUGACCUUCUAUCAUGUUUAUCUUUCUAAGACAAUCUAACACCCAUGUAGUUUCCCCUUUCAAUUCUCCACACCACAUGGCGACCUCGACGGUUUAGUGAACAUAAAAUGGGGGACGCCUAAUUGGGGUUGAGGAAAGGGGAGAGAUUGGUAGGGUUCUUAGAGAAGACAGUCUUCGUAAUAGUGUUUAGUUCUGGAUUAAACAUUAUAAAGUUAGAAAAUUUCCUUCAUUAACAGUAAAUGUCAGUAAAUUUCGACUAAUAUUG